rnacentral:lncRNA from 1 species
AAAUGAAAUUGAUAGACCAUUAGCAAGAUUAACCAAGAAAAGAAGAGAGAAAAUCCAAAUAACCUCACUAAGUCCUAGCUUAAAUCAGGAGGAAUUGGAUACCCUGAACAGACCAAUAACAAGCAGCAAGAUUGAAAUGGUAAUUUUAAAAUUACCAACAAAAAAAAGUCCAGGACCAGAAGGAUUCACAGCAGAAUUCUACCAGACAUUCAAAGAAGAAUUGGUACCAAUCCUUUUGACACUAUUCCACAAGAUAGAGAAAGAAGGAACCCUCCCUAAUUCAUUCUAUGAAGCUCCCAUCAUCCUAAUACCAAAACCAGGAAAUGACAUAACCAGAAAAGUCGCUUUAUCAUUAAAACCCUCAGGAAAACCGGCAUACAAGGGACAUACCUUAACAUAAUAAAAGCCAUCUAUGACAAACCCAUAGCCAACAUAAUACUGAAUGGGGAAAAGUUCAAAGCAUUCCCUCUGAGAACGGGAACAAGACUAGGAUGCCUACUCUCACCACUUGUCUUCAAUAUAGUACUGAAAGUCCUAGUCAAAGCAAUCAGACAAGAGAAAGAAAUAAAGGGUGUCCAACUCGGUAAAGAGGAAGUCAAACUGUCACUGUUUGCUG